GCUGGGGACUGCGGACCGCGGUGGUUCUCGCGAUCCGGGUCUGGGUUCCUGCCCAGCCUGCUCCUGCAGAGCAACCUGGCAAAGGUGUCUCUCCCGGCUCCCGGCGCUGCUCAGGAAGCGUGUUGGGAAGAGGCUAACGAUAAUUAACAUUUGGGGCGCGUUUUGUCUUCGAAGUGCUUUACAAACACGACCUAAUUAGCCCGCGGGGAGGAGCGGCGCCACCGAAACGCUUGCUUUAUUAUUCAUUUCUAUAGUCUGGAGCGCGCAGCCUUGGCGCGCGAGUGUUGUCGGGGAGGAUACCCAGGUUGGGAUGCCUCCUCCGAGCGCCUCCGGGCUCUCGGUGGGCAGGGCCCUGCAGACAGGCCAAGUCUAAUUUGGCACAGGGCAGCCUCUUCGCAAGCAUCUCAUUUAGUCUCCCUGGCAAUCCAGAGAAAUGCGUAGGUUCUGGGGCUCAGUGAGGUUAAGUGACGCGUCCAAGACCACACAGCCUACACGCAGGCGCUGAAAUUCAAACCAGGCCCUGAACCGCAAGGGGCCAGAUCUUCGUCCCCUAUUCCCGGGCACCUAACGGGCCGGGCGCAGCGAGAUUCCGGGAAUCCCGCCUGGGUCGCAGCAUCCCCGCGCAGCGGAGAAAGCAGGCGGAGGCUGGCGACCGCGGGCGGCUGGCAGCGGUGCGCGCGCUCCCCGGCCGGCCGAAACUGUUGCCAGCGCAAAGCUCCCUGCUACACCUGAGCCGGGGACAGAUGUGCAUCAAUAUUUAUUCGGAACUCCCAGGAAACCUGGAUGAAGUGUAAUUAUCUCAGCUCAAUCAGCUCGGAUUAGCAUAACAUCAAGUCACCCAUCAGACGGAGGGUUUGAUUUCGGGGAUCAAAGCGCCGCGCUGUAGCCGCUGAUUAAUCGGGGAGAGGAGAGCUGAGAGAAGAAAGCUGCGCGGGCUCCGCGAGCCACAGCUGCGCCGCUUUGAUGCGCCGAUUGUGCCAAGUUCACUUUCCCGGCGCGUUCGGCACCCGCCCUCGUCGCUGCACCCGCCGCCGAGUCUCUGGGUUUUAGCGCCGUUUCCCGGGUAGCAAGUCGCUACCUUUAACGUAAUCCACCGGUACCUUUCUCCGUGACAGCGCGAGGCUGUGCUGUGAAGCGGAGUGCUUGCCUGUCGAUUUUCUGCUCUGGAGGCGCAGAGAGCUAUGGGGCUCGCCUGCGCGGGACCCGGGCCGGACUCUGCCGAGGGACCGCCCUUCUCCUGGUAUCUCUGCUCUGAGAGUGAGCCAUGAGCAGUCCUUCCGAGGCUGCCCUGAGGCUGAGCCGAGGAGUGAAAUGCCGGAGUUCAAGGCCUUCCCCAGGCCAGCUCCAGCCAACCCUUUGCACCUGGCCAGCCUCAUCCCCUCCCGCCACACAAAAAUCGCUGAGGUUUGCUUAGCUCGCCCCGCUUCCUUAAUUCUGUACGUUUGUACAGUCUGUUUCCCCUACUGGGAUGCCCUUGUGCCCCCUUUCUUUUCUCUAACCAGCUCUGACAUCUUUAGCACAGCCCACGUGCCUCUUGCCCUGGCGAAAGCCUGUCCUCAUGCUUCCAGUGGGUUCAGCCAGCGAGGGGAGCCCCUGUCCUGGCAUCCUGACAUUGUGCCGUCAUGAUCUGAUCCGACCCCCCUUCCCCAGCAGACCUGCACUGUGUCCUGGGAUGGCCCAGGCCGUCCUUUUCUGGGGGAUGAGGAUGGGUGAAUUUGAUUGCGGAUCCACAUGGCUGCCCCUCCAACUUCAAGUCUCCUCCUUCCAACUUACACUAGCUCCCCCCAUCCUUAUCCGAUGUGUUGAGGGCAGGAACCCUACCUUAUCUGCUCUUAUGUCCCCUUGGAUACAGUCCUUGGCCCAAAGCAGAUGUGAAUUCUAGCUCUUGCCCUUGGCUAACUCUGUUUCCUUAAACAAGUCACUUGACCUCCCAGAAACUCAUAUCACCAAGGUGCAUGGGUUUGUGUGGUUGUAAUGAUCUGUGUUCUGUGAUCUUCCUUCAUAAACCCUGUCCAGUGAAGCCACUCCUACAGGGCAGAGCCCCACUUGGUAUAGGGAAUCCUAGAAUCUUAGGGUUGAAGGGAAGCUCAUGACCCCUUCCUCAUCCUUCUGACAAGCCUUCAUCCUUUGCUAGAGGAGAUGGGAGAGCAGAAUUUGGUACUGAAGGUCUGCCCGGCCACUGGUCCACGUGGGAGCUUGGCCAGCAUGGUGGAGACAGGGGACUGGAGGACCCACACGGCCACUCUUCAGCUCUCUCUGCCUGAUAGGAUGGAAGCAUCAGCCAUGGUGUCACCUAGGGUGUCUGAAUACCAGGAUUCUUAAAAGCUUGGAGAGCAAUGGAGACCCAGGCCGUUUUAAAAGCUGAGACAUACCAACUGUUGCUGGAACCAGGCUUCCCAGGUGGCCCUAGUGGUAAAGAACCCCCAUGCCAAUGUAGGAAACAUAAGAGAUGCACUCGAGUUCAAGAAGAUCCCUUGGAGGAGGGCAUGGCAAUCCACUCCUGGAGAAUCCGAUGGACAGAGGAGCUUGACCAUGCUCCUGGUGCAUAAUGGAGGCUGUAGCUCAGAUGUCCCAGCUCCCAGCAAUGCCUGCUCCAUCAUCGUCAGGUUCCUUGGUUUCCUGGGUGCUAAACAGCCACCCUCAGAUUUUUAAACCCGUGGAGGCCGCUGUCCCUGGCAUCUUGCUUCCUUUCCACUCUGCCUUUGGUGGCCUCGCUGGAGACUUCUCCCUUGGUGUUCCCUUUGAUUGUUUCUCAAAUAGGACUUUGUGGAGGGGGCAACCAAGACUCAUUUCACUGCCAGGCUCCUGGCUUGAUCCUGUAGUGCCAGGCGCAAGGGCAGCAGAGAUGGAAGCCAUUCCGAACGUACCAGCUCCCUUGCUGCCUUCUGCUAUCGGCAGCAAUGCGGGGGUGAGGGGGGCUUUCCUGUUAACCCUCCCCGCUGUUGGUGGGAAUCCAGACCUGCUCUGUCUCCUUUGGCCUGGCCUAGGAAUACAACACUGGGCUCGGGUAGCUGCAGGUGUUUAGAGGGGUUUCCAGUUUUGACCUGGGGGAGGGUGAAAGCUGUGGGGGAGAUGGGUCCAGGAGAGCAAAGAGAAGAAAUAUUUAAGACCAGGCAGUGUGACCCUAUGGGGAAGCCCCCGGUAGCUCAGCGGUAAAGAAUCCGCCUGUAGUGCAGGAGACUCAGGGUUGAUCCCUGGGUCAGGAAGAUCCCUUGGAGGGGGUACGUGGCAACCCACUCCAGUGUUCUUGCUGGGAAAAUCCCAUGGACAGAGGAGCCUGGUGGGCUACAGUUCAUGCAGUCAUAGAGUCGGACAUGGCUGAAGUGACUGAGCACAUUUUAGCAC
ensembl:lncRNA